rnacentral:rRNA from 1 species
GACGAACGCUGGCGGCGUGCUUAACACAUGCAAGUCGAACGGAAAGGCCCUGCUUUUGUGGGGUGCUCGAGUGGCGAACGGGUGAGUAACACGUGAGUAACCUGCCCUUGACUUUGGGAUAACUUCAGGAAACUGGGGCUAAUACCGGAUAGGAGCUCCUGCUGCAUGGUGGGGGUUGGAAAGUUUCGGCGGUUGGGGAUGGACUCGCGGCUUAUCAGCUUGUUGGUGGGGUAGUGGCUUACCAAAGCUUUGACGGGUAGCCGGCCUGAGAGGGUGACCGGCCACGAUGGGACUGCGAUACGGCCCAGUCUCCUACGGGACGCAGCAGUGGGGAUUAUUGCAGUAUGGGCGGAAGCCUGAUGCAGCAACGCCGCAUGCGGGAUGACGGCCUUCGUGUUAUAAACCGCUUUCGCCUUUGACGAAGCGUGAGUGACGGUAAUGGGUAAAGAAGCACCGGCUAACUACGUG